rnacentral:rRNA from 1 species
GAUGAACGCUGGCUGUGUGCCUAAUACAUGCAUGUCGAGCGAAGCACUUUUGUGCUUAGCGGCGAAUGGGUGAGUAACACGUACUUAACCUACCCUCAAGAUUGGGACAACACUUGGAAACGAGUGCUAAUACCAAAUACGUAUUUUUAUCGCAUGAUAGAUAUAUAAAAGGAGCUUUGGCUUCACUAGAGGAUGGGAGUGCGCUACAUUAGUUAGUUGGUAGGGUAAUGGCCUACCAAGACUAUGAUGUAUAGCGGGGCCGAGAGGCUGAUCCGCCACACUGGGACUGAGAUACGGCCCAGACUCCUACGGGAGGCAGCAGUAGGGAAUUUUCCACAAUGAACGAAAGUUUGAUGGAGCGACACAGCGUGCAGGAUGAAGGUCUUCGGAUUGUAAACUGCUGUUAUAAGAGAAGAAAAACCCUGGUAGGUAAUGACCAGGACUUGACGGUACCUUAUCAGAAAGCGACGGCUAACUAUGUGCCAGCAGCCGCGGUAAUACAUAGGUCGCAAGCGUUAUCCGGAAUUAUUGGGCGUAAAGAGUUCGUAGGUGGUUUUGUAAGUCUGAAGUUAAAUACCGGGGCUCAACCCCGGCCCGCUUUGGAUACUGCAAAACUAGAGUAAUAGAGAGGUUAGUGGAACUCCAAGUGAAGCGGUGGAAUGCGUAGAUAUUUGGAAGAACACCAAUGGCGAAGGCAACUAACUGGAUAUUAACUGACACUGAGGAACGAAAGCGUGGGUAGCAAACAGG